AGCGAACGCUGGCGGCAGGCCUAACACAUGCAAGUCGAACGAACCUUUCGGGGUUAGUGGCGGACGGGUGAGUAACACGUGGGAACGUGCCUUUAGGUUCGGAAUAACUCAGGGAAACUUGUGCUAAUACCGAAUGUGCCCUUCGGGGGAAAGAUUUAUCGCCUUUAGAGCGGCCCGCGUCUGAUUAGCUAGUUGGUUGAGGUAAUGGCUCACCAAGGCGACGAUCAGUAGCUGGUCUGAGAGGAUGAUCAGCCACAUUGGGACUGAGACACGGCCCAAACUCCUACGGGAGGCAGCAGUGGGGAAUCUUGCGCAAUGGGCGAAAGCCUGACGCAGCCAUGCCGCGUGAAUGAUGAAGGUCUUAGGAUCGUAAAAUUCUUUCACCGGGGACGAUAAUGACGGUACCCGGAGAAGAAGCCCCGGCUAACUUCGUG
rnacentral:rRNA from 1 species